AUGCCUCCCCUCCACAUACUGCUCGGGCUUCUCCUCUUGCUCACUCCUCCUCCUUGCUGCUCCUCUGCAGCUGCAAAUGGAGACAAGCUGCCGGCAGGCCAAGCUCUCGCUGUUGGCAGCAAACUCGUCUCCAGAAACGGCAAGUUCGCGCUCGGCUUCUUCCAGCCAGCAGCUGCUGCGGGCAGCAUCAGUAAGUCGCCCCACAAUGCCACCUCCCCGAGCUCAGGCUGGUACCUCGGCAUAUGGUUCAAUAAGAUCCCGGUUUUCACCACUGUGUGGGUCGCUAAUAGGGAAGAACCCGUCGUCCACCACAACCUCAAUCAAACACAGCUCAAGAUAGCAAGCGAUGGCAAUCUUGUCAUCGUACUAACCCAUGCCAGCAACACCGAGUCCGUAGUUUGGUCCACUCACAUCGUCAACAAUAUGACACAAGCCAGCAAAAAAAACACCACCACUACUAGUGUCGCCCUUCUCUUGAACAAUGGAAACCUUGCCCUCACAUCUGAACAGAAGGUGUUGUGGCAGAGCUUCGACUACCCAACAGAUGUAGUGCUUCCUGGCUCUAAGUUCGGCCGGAACAAGAUCACUAGUUUUAGCAGCCAACUCAUCUCAAAGAAGAGCCUCAUUGAUCCUGGUUUAGGGUCAUACAGUCUUGACCUAGAAGAUAUCAAGGGGUUCGUCCUCAAACGCCGCAAGAACCCAUCAAUAGUGUAUUGGCUUUAUGAAUCCUCCACAACAUCAGCAAUGAAUCUUUUGCCACUAGCCAAGGCACUGCUAGAUUUGAAUCCUCAGACCAAAGGUUUACUUAACAUAACAUAUGUUGAUAACAACCGAGAGGAGUACUACAUGGGCACUUUACGAGAUGAAUCCUCGGCUUCCAUGUUUGGCUUACUAGACAUCUCUGGUCAGAUAAAGCUGAAUCUUUGGUCGCAUGCCAGCCAGUCUUGGCAGACAAUAUAUGCCCAACCAGACAAUCCGUGUGAGCCACCUGCAACCUGUGGACCUUUCACGGUCUGUAGCAGCAAGCCACAUCCAUCCUGUGACUGCAUGGAGAGCUUCUCUCAGAAAUCACCACAUGAUUGGGAGUUUGAUGACCGAACAGGAGGAUGCACUAGAAAUACACCAUUACAUUGCACUAGUGACAAAAACAUGACAAGUUCAACAGACAUAUUCCACCCCAUUAAUCAAGUUCAACUUCCCUACAACCCACAAAGCAUAGUCGCUGCCACCACCCAAAGCAAAUGUGAAGAAGUUUGUCUCAGUUCCUGCUCAUGCACUGCUUAUUCCUAUAACAGUAGAAGAUGCUCUGUCUGGAAUGGGGAAUUACUUAGUGUAUUUCAGACUGAUGAUACUGGAGAACAUGUUCUUUACCUUCGUCUUGCCGCCAAAGAUUUGCGGCCAACUUUGAGAAACAACAAAAGAAAACCAACCAUUGGAGUUGUUGCUACUGCAAGCAUGAUUGGUUUUGGGUUAGUAAUGAUCAUGGUGUUCUUACUGAUUUGGAGGGACAAAUUCAAGUGGUGUGGUUUGUUGCCAAUUCACUAUGACCAUCAAGCUAGUGUUGGUGGGAUUAUAGCUUUUAGGUACACAGAUUUAGUUCGUGCUACUAAAAACUUCUCAGAAAAGCUAGGUGGAGGUGGUUUUGGUUCUGUAUACAAGGGAGUGUUAAGUGACUCAAAGACCACUAUAGCGGUGAAAAGACUUUAUGCUGCCCAUCAAGGAGAGAAGCAAUUCAGAGCUGAGGUGAGCUCAAUUGGGAUGAUCCAACACAUCAACCUAGUCAAACUGAUUGGUUUCUGUUGUGAAGGUGAUCACAGGUUGCUUGUGUAUGAACAUAUGUUAAAUGGGUCUCUUGAUGGUCAUCUAUUUAAGGUGAGCAAUCAUGAUGAUGAUGAUGCCCUAAAUUGGAGCACCAGAUACCAAAUAAUCCUUGGAAUUGCUAGAGGGUUAUCAUACUUGCAUCAAAGUUGCCACAAAUGCAUCAUACAUUGUGAUAUUAAGCCGGAGAACAUAUUGGUGGAUGGAUCAUUUGUUCCUAAAGUUGCAGACUUUGGGCUAGCAUCAUUUGUUGGAAGGGAUUUUAGCCGAAUCCUGACUUCAUUCAAAGGAACUACAGGUUAUCUUGCCCCGGAGUGGCUUACCGGAGUUGCUAUCACACCGAAAAUCGAUGUUUACAGCUUCGGCAUGGUUCUGCUGGAAAUCAUAUCAGGAAGGAGGAAUGCGUCACCUGAAACAUCAUACAACACUAGCAGCUGCAACAACAACAACACCCACCAACAUGUUGAAUAUUUCCCAGUCCAAGCCAUCAACAAGCUUCACAGCGACGAUGUGAAGAGUUUGGUGGAUCCACGGCUAAACGGUAACUUCAAUUUGGAAGAGGUUGAAAGGGUUUGCAAAAUUGCUUGUUGGUGCAUCCAAGAUAAUGAGUUUGAUCGGCCGAUGAUGGGUGAAGUGGUCCGGGUUCUAGAUGGUCUGCAAGAGAUUGAUGUGGCCCCAAUGCCAAGACUACUCGCAGCUAUAACGGAACAAUCUGGUGCUGCAACUUCUAUGUAA
rnacentral:rRNA from 1 species